rnacentral:rRNA from 1 species
GACGUAGGGCGCGAGCGUUGUCCGGAUUUAUUGGGCGUAAAGAGCUCGUAGGCGGUUUGUCGCGUCGAAUGUGAAAACCCGAGGCUCAACUUCGGGCUUGCAUUCGAUACGGGCAGGCUAGAGUUCGGUAGGGGAGACUGGAAUCCCUGGUGUAGCGGUGAAAUGCGCAGAUAUCAGGAGGAACACCGGUGGCGAAGGCGGGUCUCUGGGCCGAUACUGACGCUGAGGAGCGAAAGCGUGGGGAGCGAACAGG